AUGAACAUACUGCUUGAUCCACCUCUUUAUGUCCUCAGAUGAAAUGAAGAGAACACUAUUAGAAUAACUACAGGUGCAAAAAAAGGAAAUGCAAGGAGGAAACCUCACCAUUUGGAGCCUUUUUCUCCUGGAGGGUUUUUCUAGAUACCCAACAUUAGAUAUUGUUCUCUUCGUCUUCAGCCUUGUGACGUACCUGAUAACGCUCUUGGGCAGCAUCUCUCUGAUCUUGGUCAUUAUCCUAGAUUCAUGCCUCCAAGCCUCCAUGUACUUGUUCCUUGGAAAUCUCUCUCUCGUGGAUAUUUGUUAUACAUCUGCUUCUGUUCCCACUUUGCUGGUGAACUUACUGUCAUCCCAGAAAACCAUUACCUUUUCUGGGUGUGCUGUACAGAUGUAUCUGUCCCUUUCCAUGGGCUCCACAGAGUGCAUGCUCCUGGCCAUGAUGGUGUACGACCGUUACGUGGCCAUCUGCAACCCCCUGAGGUACCCCAUCCUCCUGAACAGGCAGGUCUGCGUGCACAUGGCCACUGCCUCUUGGGUGACGAGUUGUCUGAGUGCCCUGCUGGAAACCAGUUUCGCCCUGCGGGUACCCCUCUGUGGGAAUCUCAUCGAUCACUUCACGUGCGAAAUCCUGGCCGUGCUGCAGUUAGCGCGCACAGAUUCACUGCUCAUGGACGUGAUCAUGCUGGUGGUCAGCGUGCUUCUCCUGCCCAUCCCCGUGCUCUUAAUUUGCAUCUCUUAUGUCUUCAUCCUUUCCACCGUUCUGAGAAUCAGCUCGGCAGAGGGAAGAAACCAAGCUUUUUCUACCUCUGGUGCCCACUUGACUGUGGUGAUCUUGUAUUACGGGGCUGCCCUCUCUAUGUACCUAAAGCCUUCUUCAUCGACCUCACAAGAAGUAGAUAAGAUCAUCUCACUGCUCUGUGGAGUGCUGACCCCUAUGUUGAACCCCAUCAUUUACAGGUUAAGAAACAAAGAAGUCAAAGAUGCCAUGAGAAAAGUACUGGGCCAGAUACCAUUGUAUCAAGCACAUGAACGUCUCUGA